rnacentral:rRNA from 1 species
UACGUAGGGUGCGAGUGUUGUCCGGAAUUAUUGGGCGUAAAGAGCUCGUAGGCGGUGUGUCACGUCGGCCGUGAAAACCUGCAGCUUAACUGUGGGCGUGCGGUCGAUACGGGCAUCACUGGAGUUCGGCAGGGGAGACUGGAAUUCCUGGUGUAGCGGUGAAAUGCGCAGAUAUCCGGAGGAACACCAGCGGCGAAGGCGGCGUCCUGGACUGGUACUGACGCUCAGGAGCGAAAGCGUGGGGAGCGAUCCGG